rnacentral:ncRNA from 1 species
CGGUACGAGAGCAGGGCCGAUGGGAGGCCCUUGCGAGAAUAGACCAUGAUCCGGUUCGCGUGUGCGGCGUAUUGCUGUGGCCCCGACAGCCAAUGCA